rnacentral:rRNA from 1 species
ACGAACGCUGGCGGCGCGCCUAACACAUGCAAGUCGAACGAGCGAAAGAGAGCUUGCUUUCUCGAGCGAGUGGCGAACGGGUGAGUAACGCGUGAGGAACUUACCUCAAAGAGGGGGACAACAGUUGGAAACGACUGCUAAUACCGCAUAAGCCCACGACCCGGCAUCGGGUUGAGGGAAAAGGAGCAAUCCGCUUUGAGAUGGCCUCGCGUCCGAUUAGCUAGUUGGUGAGGUAACGGCCCACCAAGGCGACGAUCGGUAGCCGGACUGAGAGGUUGAACGGCCACAUUGGGACUGAGACACGGCCCAGACUCCUACGGGAGGCAGCAGUGGGGAAUAUUGCACAAUGGGGGAAACCCUGAUGCAGCAACGCCGCGUGGAGGAAGAAGGUCUUCGGAUUGUAAACUCCUGUUGUUGGGGAAGAUAAUGACGGUACUCAACAAGGAAGUGACGGCUAACUACGUGCCAGCAGCCGCCGUAA